rnacentral:pre_miRNA from 1 species
CUAGUACUUUCUUCGUCCGAAAAAAUUUGUCCCUCAAAUGGAUGUAUCUAGCACAAAGUUAAUGCUGGAUACAUUCAUUUGAGAGACAAGUUUUUUCGGACGGAAGGAGUACUAA